rnacentral:piRNA from 1 species
UCCAUGUUUUUUUUUUCGGAA